CUAUUUUGCAAAGGCUAACUAAAACUACACUUAUGUUUAAUGUGCUCAAGAAAUAAAUGCCUUCAAAGUUUAACCAUUUAAUAGAGUUUGCGGAACAUGCUGUCAUUUCCUAAGUGUAACUGUAAGUCUCUGUUGAAGUGAUGUUUAUUAAAACACUCUCUGGAUCCUAACUUUUUGGGAUAGAACUAGCUUUUUCCAUCCAUCCAUCCAUUAUCCAACCCGCUAUAUCCUAACUACAGGGUCACGAGGGUCUACUGGAGCCAAUCCCAGCCAACACAGGGAGCAAGGCAGGAAAUAAACCCCAGGCAGAGACCAGCCCACCGCAGGGCACACACACCCACACACCAAGCACACACUAGGGACAAUUUAAGAUCGCCAAUGCACCUAACCUGCAUGUCUUUGGACUGUGGGAGGAAAUCCACCCAGAAACGGGGAGGACAUUCAAUCUCCAUGCAGGGAGGACCCGGGAAGCAAACUCAGGUCUCCUAACUGUGAGGCAGCAGCGCUACCACUGCGCAAGGCAGGAAACAAACACCAGGCAGGGCACCAGCCCACCGCAGGUUUUGUAUUUUGACAAUCAUUAAUAAGAAAUUCAAAUAAAAGGCCAUUAUAACUUC